AUUGAACGCUGGCGGCAGGCCUAACACAUGCAAGUCGAGCGGCAGCGGAAAGUAGCUUGCUACUUUGCCGGCGAGCGGCGGACGGGUGAGUAAUGUCUGGGAAACUGCCCGAUGGAGGGGGAUAACUACUGGAAACGGUAGCUAAUACCGCAUAACGCCGCAAGACCAAAGAGGGGGACCUUCGGGCCUCUUGCCAUCGGAUGUGCCCAGAUGGGAUUAGCUAGUAGGUGGGGUAACGGCUCACCUAGGCGACGAUCCCUAGCUGGUCUGAGAGGAUGACCAGCCACGCUGGAACUGAGACACGGUCCAGACUCCUACGGGAGGCAGCAGUGGGGAAUAUUGCACAAUGGGCGCAAGCCUGAUGCAGCCAUGCCGCGUGUAUGAAGAAGGCCUUCGGGUUGUAAAGUACUUUCAGCGGGGAGGAAGGUGUUGAGGUUAAUAACCUCAGCAAUUGACGUUACCCGCAGAAGAAGCACCGGCUAACUCCGUGCCAGCCGCCGCAGUAA
rnacentral:rRNA from 1 species